rnacentral:rRNA from 1 species
CAUGGCUGUCGUCAGCUCGUGUCGUGAGAUGUUCGGGUUAAGUCCCGCAACGAGCGCAACCCUUGUCAUUAGUUGCCAUCAUUAAGUUGGGCACUCUAAUGAGACUGCCGGUGCAAACCGGAGGAAGGUGGGGAUGACGUCAAGUCAGCAUGGCCUUUAUGUCCUGGGCUACACACACGCUACAAUGGCCAGUACAAUUGGUAGCUAAGCCGCGAGGUGGAGCCAAUCCGUAAAAGCUGGCCUCAGUUCAGAUUGUAGGCUGCAACCCGCCUGCAUGAAGAUGGAGUUGCUAGUAACCGCAGGUCAGCAAUACUGCGGUGAAUACGUUCCCGGGUCUU